rnacentral:rRNA from 1 species
UACAGAGGGUGCAAACGUUGCUCGGAAUCAUUGGGCGUAAAGAGCUCGUAGGCGGUUCGGCAAGUCGGAUGUGAAAUCUCCACGCUCAACGUGGAGGGGCCAUUCGAAACUGCCGUGACUCGAGUCCGGUAGGGGAGUGUGGAAUUCCUGGUGUAGCGGUGAAAUGCGCAGAUAUCAGGAAGAACACCCGUGGCGAAGGCGGCUCUCUGGGACGGUACUGACGCUGAGACGCGAAAGCGUGGGGAGCGAACAGG